rnacentral:rRNA from 1 species
GCCAGCAGCCUUAUCACUCUGCAACUCACAAAUGCCAACCCACUGAAGCUAAGCAGGUGUGAGCCAGUACCUGGAUGGGAGACCUCCUGGGAAAAACUAAGGUUGCUGCUGGAA